CCUACGGGAGGCAGCAGUAGGGAAUAUUGCUCAAUGGGGGAAACCCUGAAGCAGUAACGCCGCGUGGAGGAUGAAGGUUUUAGGAUUGUAAACUCCUUUUGUGAGAGAAGUUAAUGACGGUAUCUCACGAAUAAGCACUGGCUAACUCCGGGCCAGCAGCCGGGGUAAUACGGAGGGUGCAAGCGGUACUCGGAAGCACUGGGCUUAAAGAGCGCGCAGGCGGGCUUGUAAGUCAGAUGUGAAAUCCUGUGGCUUAACUACAGAACUGCAUUUGAAACUAUGAGUCUAGAGUGUGGGAGAGGUAGGUGGAAUUCGUGGUGUAGGGGUGAAAUCCGUAGAUAUCAAGAGGAAUACUCAUUGCGAAGGCGGCCUACUGGAACGUUACUGACGCUCAUGCACGAAAGCGUGGGGAGCAAACAGGAUUAGAUACCCGUGUAGUC
rnacentral:rRNA from 1 species